rnacentral:rRNA from 1 species
UACGAAGGGUCCAAGCGUUAUCCGGAUUUAUUGGGUUUAAAGGGUGCGUAGGCGGAUUAUUAAGUCAGUGGUGAAAGCUCCAUGCUCAACAUGGAAAUUGCCAUUGAUACUGAUGAUCUUGAGUACACUUGAAGUGGGCGGAAUAUGUCAUGUAGAGGUGAAAUGCUUAGAUAUGACACAGAACACCGAUAGCGUAGGCAGCUUACUACACAAAUAUUGACACUGAGGCACGAAAGCGUGGGGAUCAAACAGG